GUCACGGAGGAUGUGACGCCUGCGUCGGUGGCGUUCCGAAUGGAGGAAUUUUGUCAAGGGGAGUUCCUUUAACCGAGUAAACAAGUACUGUUUAUGCACACUGUGAAAUGGAACGCAGCCUAAAUUAAGGCCGUUCCCAUCAGCCUCAGCUGUAAUCAUAAUUAAUAAAUGUUAGGAUGCUAAUAUGCUGAACCAAGUUGAUGAACAGAGUGGACACAAAACCCAAACACAGUGUGUGAAUAGUGAAUGAAACAACACUGAAACAAGCCUGUGUGAAAAUAUCAGCUUCAUGUGAUCUUACAAAGAAGAUGUUUCAUCCUCAGCCUCUCAACUAAAUGCCAAACAGGAGCUCGCCAAAAACACCAGAGUAUAAUCUUUCUGAUGAGGUUAACCAUGUCUAGCAGCUUGUCAUGCCACUAAGCCCUUCCUAAUUCCUGUGAAGUGAUCUUGUAUAAAAGUAUUGUUUCCUUUAAUCAUACAGUCUAGGCAUGAAUACAGGCGUUUCUGGGAUGGUAGCACAGUCUGGCCUUCUUUAAGUGUAGUGGGCAUAAUCAAUGGACUCAAUGACCCAUGACAUCACACUCUGAUCUUGACUUACGGCACAAUAAGAUCCUGUCGUCCGUAUUGACCAAUGUGAAAAUAUUCUUUAUCCGACAGAAGCAGAAGGACUCUGUCCAUAUUUCUUCCCGUCCGUGUUGGAACAGUGCAGCACCGCAUGUCAGUGUCAAGUCUCCCCAGGCCUGUAAGUUGCACCUGAGCGCCCCUCCCAUCUGCCUGACCCUGUUUGUCUCCAGUUUGUCCCCUGGUCUGAGCAGCCCACCCUCUGCCUGCCUCAGCUCUGCAUGCGAACAAGUCCGGAUCUCGCCUGGGAGGAAGUGGAAUGUUUUUACUGGGAAGUUUGGGAUUAGACGACCAAUGCAGGAUUUUCAUUCCAUCUCUCGGUAGCUGCACUCCAAAGGAAGCCCCCCUCCGCCCACCUUUCUCUCUUUUUUUUUUCUUACAUAAGUGAGCCAUCGCCAAUGUGGAUUAAUAUGUUUUCUCCCAUGCAGUAAAAGCAAACUGGACUCUGUGUCCAAAAAAUGCAGUACAGAGCGUCCAUGACUGAACUGCAGCAGGGCCUGGGAAUAAAGACUCUCUUCUUUCGGCUGCCCAUUGAUUACCUGCCAUAAGACAAUUUUGCGGUGAAUUACAGCACUUGACUUUUUACUGCUUGGAAGCCUUUAUUAAUCCAUCAAUCCGACCUGAUCUAAAAUCCAACAUUUCUGCUACAGAUCUGGCUUAUCGCUCAACAUGGGGCAAAGCUUGAGUCGAAUAUGGACAGGUGAACAUCCCAGAGCUGAUAGCAUCUCCAGUUCCUGCUAUUAUCUUCGAACACCUACUGUGUAAUCUACACCUUAGCUCAUUCACGCCUCCUCCGUUAUCAUGCAGUGUGUCUCUGUAUGUAUAGCAUGCAAUACAUGAGUGUGUGACAGGGAGAAGAGAUGGACAUUUCUUUUCCAUGCAGGAGAACCCCCCGGGGGAACUUCCUGUAUUUUUGUAACCCGGAUGAGAAGCUGUUGAUAACAUGAGUGUGUGGGCGCCAGCGGGGAAGGUGACAUUAGCGACAACUCAGAGGAAGAGGAAGUCAAUCAGCAGAGCGAGAGCAAGGAGGACAAUAGCUGUGUGGCAUGAGAGGAAAGCCAAGUGGGGAAAGUGGGAGUAAACACACACACACGAGGUAUCUCUGUCUGCAGGUCAGAGGCAAUGACGUCCUCUGUCCACACGUGCAUGCAUGCAUGCUCAUUUGGGCAUGGCGUGUGUCUGCGCAUUUAGGUGCAUUUGCAUGUGUGUGUGUGUGUGGUUCGCACAAUUGUCUGUUUCGCACCUGGCCGGGCCAGUAGUGAGUCAGCAGUGGUGAGAGGUUGAGCUGUAUUCCCUGUCACACAGCUCAAAGUUGUGUUAACCUUUAAGACAAAAGGCUGUGACGUGUGUGGGCUUCUGCUAAUCCUGUAAGGAAAGCCAUCUGAAUGUCAUGUAUUCUUCUAGCUGACAUCAAAAUCUGAUUUAAAAUGUGUGGUUGAGGUCUCUGAGGAAACUAUUCAGCGCGUCUACCUCAAAUGUAGGGGCAUUUUGGUCCUCCUGAAAAGUGUUGUUCCAACAACUCUCAAGUUCAGGCUUUUCUUAGUUGAAUUAGAGGGACCCACAGCACUCCGGAAAUUAGAGAAUUAGUAUGCAAUUCCAGAAUGAUGAGCUGAUUUGAUCUGCUGCUGUUUGUCUUUCAGUAAUUUGAGCUGACCUGUGUUUAAAAGAGUAUUUGUUACAGGAUGUACAGCUUAAAAAAAAACUCUGAGUGAAAGUCACACUUGUCUGUACUUUUAACAUCUCCCCUAACUUCUUUUUAACUUCUCACAUAGUUUCACAGAGUUUAAGGCAAGAUAAGACUGUAAAAAAUCUGAAGUUCUGCACAGAUUUUGAUAAUGUGUUAAAAUAUCUAUUGCCCUUGAAUUCACUGUCUGGCCAACAGCUACUACAAAGCAAGAAGACAAUGAAAGCAUGAAGCAGAUCACUGGAGUUACACUUUGUGGUGGCCACAUUUCUUUGUUUCAUUAACCUUGUCAAAGCAUAUUUCACAGUAUAAAUGAAAGAGAACAACACAAGAGGUUUUUUUUUUUUUUUGAAGGUCUAUUGCAUAAGUGCAAAUCUUUCCUCCAAAACAUGAGCGAAAUUGGGGACAGGUCAGUAAGCUGUCACUACAUCUUAGAUCUUAAAGGUCCUGCAAAGUUUUUAAACUCUCAUAAAGACGAAAACUUUUUUAUUAAGUCAAUUAAUUUCACAUUUUCUAGCCAAGCUAGGCUAGCAGCAGAGCUCCAGGGCUGGAAACGUUGAUCAGUCAGUUGGUUUGUUUUGGUCCAAACUGAAAUAUAAAAGCUCUGUUGGAUGGAUUACCAUGAAAUGUUAUACAUAAAUUCGUGGUCCCUUGACAAAGUAUCCUAAUUACUUUGCUGAUCGUUUGGCUAUGAGGUUCACAUUGGUGGUUUGUGAGUGAAAUGUCUUGACAACUGUUGGAAUUUGGUUCAGGGUGAAUUGUAGUUAAUGUUUUGUUUAGUACUACCUGCAAAACCAAUGACAUUCCCAUCAGCCUGAGCUGUACUGUGCCAAACUAAGAUGUUAAAGAUGGUAAACGUUAUACCUGCUAAACAUGGUAACAUUUAGUUAAAAAAAAAAGAGCAGAGCCAGGUGACACUGUUGACUCCCAGCUGGUUUGAACCCUGGCUGGGGCCUUUCUUUGGAGUUUGCAUGUUGUCUCCGUGUUUUUGGGUUAAUUGGUGACUCUAAAUUGCCCAUAGGUGUGAACGUGAGGGUGGUUGUUUGUCUCUAUGUGAUCUGUGAUGAAUUGCCGACCGAUUUGUCCAGGGUGUACCCUGCUGCUUCCCCAAUGCCAGCUGGGAUUGGUUCCAGCCCCCCACAACUCUGAUAAGGAUAAGCAGUUACAGAAAAUGUAUGGAUGGAAGAGCAGAGCCACCAGCAUGGCUCAGAAAAUGCCUCAGGUGACUUAUCAAAACUGGUACAACAGAGCCAUUUGAACAAACACUUGACAAUUUCUCUACAUAUAUUCAGCCAAAUAACUCACAUGGCUGCAAAGGUGGAACACAACUAUCCAUUAGAUGCAGAGCCAUCUGGAUAUCUGUGCCGUACAGCACAGCAUGAUGCAGUAUCUUGAUCACAGGGGCCAAAAUGUCACAAGUUUUUCCCUGGAAGAACAAAGGCUGCAAUGUGACGUGUGCUUUCCUGUCAGGCUAGUGACGUCAUUCGGGCUGGAUCAUCAACACUGGCAACAACAGUAAUUCAACACCUGAAAAAGCAGCCUUUCAAGCUGGCUGUGACUGCUUCGUAUUUUCUUUUUUCAUGUGGGCAUGGCGUUUCAGUCGAGUCAGUGGGGAGGAAGUGAUAAAGUUGCUGUAAGAUGACUACAUCAAAAGCCCAUAACCUGCUCUACGAGACCGCACAAGUGAUGUACAAAGAGGAUCUGAAAGGUGGGACUGGCUGACCUCCUCCAGGGCUCUGGCCACAGCCUCAGUGUCACCACACCUGACACCAUUGAUCACAGUGGGAAUGUUCUGCAACACAGCGCAGGAACCGCUGCCAGCUCCACCAGCAGAGUAACCAUAAAGAAACCUCGCACGCUGUCUCCACCCGGGAGGCUGAGCAGCAGCUCCAGGUUCCUGCAUGAUGCAAUUAGCCAGAACUGCAUCUGCAUGGGUGAGGAUUGGAGGAAGUCCUAAGCGCUGUGACACCUCCCAGUACGGGACAGCCAGAUUAUGUGGUGUAGCCCAUGGUCAUGAUGCUGAGGGCCAGGUGGGCCAGCCGUAACUCCCGGUGCUUCUGCAGAAACUGGCUGCUCAGCAGCGGCAUCUGGAAAGAUGGAGUAUCAGCACUGAACCAUGGCUCCAUAAACUGUUG